rnacentral:rRNA from 1 species
UCGAACCCUGCAAAGCAGAACGACCCGUGAACACGUAAUACAACUGUGUGUCGAGUUGGUUAAGCACUUGUUUGAUCAUCUCGAUGCUUUGUCGAUGUGCAUUCACUCGAGUCCUUAAGUGACGCUUGUGAAUGUGUCAUCGGCGCAAUAACAACCCCCGGCACAAUGUGUGCCAAGGAAAACAAAACUUGAGAAGGCUUGUUUCAUGUUUGCCCCGUUCGCGGUGUGCUCAUGGGANGUGGCUUCUUUAUAAAUCGCGUCGCCCCCNACAAGUAUUUGUCGGGGCGGAUAUUGGUCUCCCGUGCUCAUGGCGUGGUUGGCCAAAAUAGGAGUCCCUUCGAUGGACGCACAAACUAGUGGUGGUCGUAAAAACCCUCGUUCUUUGUUUUGUGCCGAUAGUCGCAAGGAAACACUCUUCAAAUAACCCAAUGUGUUGUCUUAGGAUGACGCUUCGACCG